rnacentral:rRNA from 1 species
GACGAACGCUGGCGGCGUGCUUAACACAUGCAAGUCGAACGGUAAGGCCCUUCGGGGUACACGAGUGGCGAACGGGUGAGUAACACGCGGGUGAUCUGCCCUGCACUUCGGGAUAAGCCUGGGAAACUGGGUCUAAUACCGGAUAGGACCACUGCCUGCAUGGGUGGUGGUGGAAAGCUUUUGCGGUGUGGGAUGGGCCCGCGGCCUGUCAGCUUGUUGGUGGGGUGUGGGCCUACCAAGGCGACGACGGGUAGCCGGCCGGGGAGGGUGACCGGCCACACUGGGACUGAGAUACGGCCCAGACUCCUACGGGAGGCAGCAGUGGGGAAUAUUGCACAAUGGGCGCAAGCCUGAUGCAGCGACGCCGCGUGAGGGAUGACGGCCUUCGGGUUGUGAACCUCUUUCAGCACCGACGAAGCGCAAGUGACGGUAGGUGCAGAAGAAGGACCGGCCAACUACGUGCCAGCCGCCGCAGUAA